rnacentral:rRNA from 2 species
AGCCCUACGGGGAGGCAGCAGUGGGGAGUUUUCUCCAAUGGGCGAAAGCCUGACGGAGCAAUACCGCGUGAGGGAGGAAGGCUCUUGGGUCGUAAACCUCUUUUCUCAGGGAAGGGUAACAAUGACGGUACCUGAGGAAUCAGCAUCGGCUAACUCCGUCCCAGCAGCCGCGGUAAUACGGAGGAUGCAAGCGUUAUCCUGAAUCAUUGGGCGUAAAGCGUCCGCAGGUGGCUUUUCAAGUCUGCUGUCAAAGCCCGGGGCUCAACCCUGGAGAGGCAGUGGAAACUGAGGAGCUGGAGUGCGGUAGGGGCAGAGGGAAUUCCCGGUGUAGCGGUGAAAUGCGUAGAUAUCGGGAAGAACACCAGUGGCGAAAGCGCUCUGCUGGCCCGCAACUGACACUCAUGGACGAAAGCUAGGGGAGCGAACGGGAUUAGAUACCCCAGUAGUCCUACCCGUAAACGAUGGACACUAGGUGUUGCGCGUAUCGACCCGUGCAGUGCCGUAGCCAACGCGUAAGUUCGCCGCGUGGCAGACGCGGCUGGUCAA